rnacentral:rRNA from 1 species
AUGUGCUACGGCGUGCACUUUGCCGCCAAGAAAUUGAAGCCGUAUUUUCAAGAGCACCCAAUUACUGUGGUCUGCACGGCUCAACUUGCCGAGAUCAUUGGAAGACGAGAUGCUUCAGGCCGAGUGGCCAAAUGGGCCAUAGAUUUGGCCCCCUACACCAUCUACUACCAACGUCGCACCGCCAUCAAGUCACAAGCACUGGCCGACUUCCUCGUCGACUGGGCCGAAACCCAGUACCUGCCGCCAGCGCCAGACUCCACCCAUUGGCGGAUGCAUUUUGAUGGUUCCAAGAUGCGCACCGGUUUGGGAGCCGGCAUCGUCCUCACCUCUCCCAAAGGCGACAAGCUCAGAUAUGUGCUGCAAAUCCAUUUUGCCGCCUCCAACAACGUCACUGAAUACGAGGCACUCAUUCACGGGCUCCGGCUUGCCAAAGAACUCGGCAUUCGCCAGAUCCUGUGCUAUGGUGACUCUGACUUGGUGGUCUAG